GACGAACGCUGGCGGCGUGCUUAACACAUGCAAGUCGAACGGUGAAAGGGAGCUUGCUCCCUGGAUCAGUGGCGAACGGGUGAGUAACACGUGGGCAACCUGCCCCAGACUUCGGGAUAACGCUUCGAAAGAGGUGCUAAUACCGGAUACGAACUCCUUGGGCAUCCUUGGAGUUGGAAAGUUUUUCGGUCUGGGAUGGGCCCGCGGCCUAUCAGCUUGUUGGUGAGGUAACGGCGCACCAAGGCGACGACGGGUAGCCGGCCUGAGAGGGCGACCGGCCACACUGGGACUGAGACACGGCCCAGACUCCUACGGGAGGCAGCAGUGGGGAAUAUUGCGCAAUGGGCGAAAGCCUGACGCAGCAACGCCGCGUGAGGGAUGACGGCCUUCGGGUUGUAAACCUCUUUCAGCAGGGAAGAAGCGAAAGUGACGGUACCUGCAGAAGAAGCACCGGCUAACUACGUGCCAGCAGCCGCAGUAAUAC
rnacentral:rRNA from 1 species